UGAGGACGGAGAGGCUGAGGCACAGGU
rnacentral:piRNA from 1 species